GAUGAACGCUGGCGGCGUGCCUAAUACAUGCAAGUCGAGCGAACAGACGAGGAGCUUGCUCCUCUGACGUUAGCGGCGGACGGGUGAGUAACACGUGGAUAACCUACCUAUAAGACUGGGAUAACUUCGGGAAACCGGAGCUAAUACCGGAUAAUAUAUUGAACCGCAUGGUUCAAUAGUGAAAGACGGUUUUGCUGUCACUUAUAGAUGGAUCCGCGCUGCAUUAGCUAGUUGGUAAGGUAACGGCUUACCAAGGCGACGAUGCGUAGCCGACCUGAGAGGGUGAUCGGCCACACUGGAACUGAGACACGGUCCAGACUCCUACGGGAGGCAGCAGUAGGGAAUCUUCCGCAAUGGGCGCAAGCCUGACGGAGCAACGCCGCGUGAGUGAUGAAGGUCUUCGGAUCGUAAAACUCUGUUAUUAGGGAAGAACAAAUGUGUAAGUAACUAUGCACGUCUUGACGGUACCUAAUCAGAAAGCCACGGCUAACUACGUG
rnacentral:rRNA from 1 species